rnacentral:rRNA from 1 species
GUGGGGAAUCUUCCGCAAUGGACGAAAGUCUGACGGAGCAACGCCGCGUGAGUGAUGAAGGUCUUCGGAUUGUAAAGCUCUGUUAAUCGGGACGAAAGAGCCUAGUGUGAAUAAUGCUAGGAAGUGACGGUACCGGAAUAGAAAGCCACGGCUAACUACGUGCCAGCAGCCGCGGUAAUACGUAGGUGGCAAGCGUUGUCCGGAAUUAUUGGGCGUAAAUCGCGCGCAGGCGGAUCUGCCAGUCUGUCUUAAAAGUUCGGGGCUUAACCCCGUGAUGGGAUGGAAACUACAGAUCUAGAGUAUCGGAGAGGAAAGUGGAAUUCCUAGUGUAGCGGUGAAAUGCGUAGAUAUUAGGAAGAACACCAGUGGCGAAGGCGACUUUCUGGACGAAAACUGACGCUGAGGCGCGAAAGCCAGGGGAGCGAACGGGAUUAGAUACCCUUGUAGUCC